AGAACGAACGCUGGCGGCAUGCCUAAUACAUGCAAGUCGAACGAACUCUUCGGAGUUAGUGGCGCACGGGUGCGUAACGCGUGGGAAUCUGCCCUUGGGUUCGGAAUAACAGUUGGAAACGACUGCUAAUACCGGAUGAUGACGAAAGUCCAAAGAUUUAUCGCCCAGGGAUGAGCCCGCGUAGGAUUAGCUAGUUGGUGAGGUAAAGGCUCACCAAGGCGACGAUCCUUAGCUGGUCUGAGAGGAUGAUCAGCCACACUGGGACUGAGACACGGCCCAGACUCCUACGGGAGGCGGCAGUAGGGAAUAUUGGACAAUGGGCGAAAGCCUGAUCCAGCAAUGCCGCGUGAGUGAUGAAGGCCUUAGGUUGUAAAGCUCUUUACCCGAGAUGAUAAUGACAGUAUCGGAGAAUAAGCCCCGGACUAACUCCGCGCCAGCAGCCGAC
rnacentral:rRNA from 1 species